GAUGAACGCUGGCGGCGUGCCUAAUACAUGCAAGUCGAGCGAACAGACGAGGAGCUUGCUCCUCUGACGUUAGCGGCGGACGGGUGAGUAACACGUGGAUAACCUACCUAUAAGACUGGGAUAACUUCGGAAAACCUGAGCUAAUACCGGAUAAUAUAUUGAACCGCAUGGUUCAUUAGAGAAAGACGGUUUUGCUGUCACUUAUAGAUGGAUCCGCGCCGCAUUAGCUAGUUGGUAAGGUAACGGCUUACCAAGGCAACGAUGCGUAGCCGACCUGAGAGGGUGAUCAGCCACACUGGAACUGAGACACGGUCCAGACUCCUACGGGAGGCAGCAGUAGGGAAUCUUCCGCAAUGGGCGAAAGCCUGACGGAGCAACGCCGCGUGAGUGAAGAAGGUCUUCGGAUCGUAAAACUCUGUUAUUAGGGAAGAACAAAUGUGUAAGUAACUAUGCACGUCUUGACGGUACCUAAACAGAAAGCCACGGCUAACUACGUG
rnacentral:rRNA from 1 species